rnacentral:rRNA from 1 species
GUGGGGAAUUUUCCGCAAUGGGCGAAAGCCUGACGGAGCAAUACCGCGUGAGGGAGGAAGGCUCUUGGGUUGUAAACCUCUUUUCUUAGGGAAGAAUAAAUGACGGUACCUAAGGAAUAAGCAUCGGCUAACUCCGUGCCAGCAGCCGCGGUAAUACGGAGGAUGCAAGCGUUAUCCGGAAUGAUUGGGCGUAAAGGGUCCGCAGGUGGCACUACAAGUCUGCUGUCAAAGGCUGGGGCUUAACUCCAGAAAGGCAGUGGAAACUGAAGAGCUAGAGUGCGAUAGGGGCAGAGGGAAUUCCCAGUGUAGCGGUGAAAUGCGUAGAGAUUGGGAAGAACACCAGUGGCGAAAGCGCUCUGCUAGGUCGUAACUGACACUGAGGGACGAAAGCUAGGGGAGCGAAUGGGAUUAGAAACCCGAGUAGUCC